rnacentral:rRNA from 1 species
UACGGGGGGGGCAAGCGUUGUUCGGAAUUACUGGGCGGAAAGGGCUCGUAGGCGGCCAACUAAGUCGGAUGUGAAAUCCCUCGGCUUAACCGGGGAACUGCGUGUGAUACUGGAUGGCUUGAGUUUGGGAGAGGGAUGCGGAAUUCCAGGUGUAGCGGUGAAAUGCGUAGAUAUCUGGAGGAACACCGGUGGCGAAGGCGGCAUCCUGGACCAAUACUGACGCUGAGGAGCGAAAGCCAGGGGAGCAAACGGG